UUGAACGCUGGCGGCAGGCCUAACACAUGCAAGUCGAGCGGAUGAAGGGAGCUUGCUCCUGGAUUCAGCGGCGGACGGGGGAGUAAUGCCUAGGAAUCUGCCUGGUAGUGGGGGAUAACGUCCGGAAACGGGCGCUAAUACCGCAUACGUCCGGAGGGAGAAAGUGGGGGAUCUUCGGACCUCACGCUAUCAGAUGAGCCUAGGUCGGAUUAGCUAGUUGGUGGGGUAAAGGCCUACCAAGGCGACGAUCCGUAACUGGUCUGAGAGGAUGAUCAGUCACACUGGAACUGAGACACGGUCCAGACUCCUACGGGAGGCAGCAGUGGGGAAUAUUGGACAAUGGGCGAAAGCCUGAUCCAGCCAUGCCGCGUGUGUGAAGAAGGUCUUCGGAUUGUAAAGCACUUUAAGUUGGGAGGAAGGGCAGUAAGUUAAUACCUUGCUGUUUUGACGUUACCAACAGAAUAAGCACCGGCUAACUUCGUG
rnacentral:rRNA from 1 species